UGUGUUGCUUACCCGCCGAAAGGAAUUCGAUCGUGCCGUUGACCCUUUCCGCCCGGCGCCCGUCGUGGGCGCGGGGCGGACUCCGGGCACGCUGCGCGUUCCUCGCAUGCCCUCCGCUGUUGCGGGGCUGUUGAGGCCCGCGGAGCUGUCGCCCGUUCUCUCGGACGCGGAACGUGACGCGCGGGCGCGGGGGUCCCGGCCUUCGCUCGCCCGGGCUACGCAUUUGUCCCUCGAUGCGAACGACAGUCGCGGCUGUCUCGACCCCGUCGCGGCCCUGUGUGCCGGGACGGGGCUCGUGCGGUCGUCGGCGUCGUCGAGGAAUGCUACCUGGUUGAUCCUGCCAGUAGUCAU
rnacentral:misc_RNA from 1 species